GCAGUCGCCGCGGUAAUACAGAGGGUGCGAGCGUUAAUCGGAUUUACUGGGCGUAAAGCGUGCGUAGGCGGCUUCUUAAGUCGGAUGUGAAAUCCCUGAGCUUAACUUAGGAAUUGCAUUCGAUACUGGGAAGCUAGAGUAUUGGAGAGGAUGGUAGAAUUCCAGGUGUAGCGGUGAAAUGCGUAGAGAUCUGGAGGAAUACCGAUGGCGAAGGCAGCCAUCUGGCCUAAUACUGACGCUGAGGUACGAAAGCAUGGGGAGCAAACAGAAUUAGAUACCCCUGUAGUCCCUGUCUCUUAUAC
rnacentral:rRNA from 1 species